GGCAGAGCGGACGACGGACUUGCGUCCGAGUGACGGGGCGCGGGCUGCAGACUGGCUUAAGCCCUCGGUGGCAGACGAAUGUGCCCAGGCUAAGCUCAGGGGACGUGUGUGGCCCCGUGCUAUGGGCCCGCUGUGAGGGUGCCGCCAGGCCGUCGAUCACUGCCUGGACGUGAGGAGUGUGGUGGUGAAGGACACUCCCUGGACAGAGUCGCUUCCCAUCACGGCUUCCCCGCCGGACCGCACCUCCCGGAGCCCUGGCGCCAGCCAGCCCGGUUUAGCGGCCGGACCGGGCUCCCCCGCGGUCCCAGGUCUGGUUGGGGUGGGGGCCGCGGCCUCGGUGACCCCAGCCCGCAGCGGCCCGGCCCGUCCCGUCCACUUAAACAAAUUGCCGCUGACAGGCGCGCAGUCUCUCUGGAGCCGCCGCCCUCCCGUCGCCUCCCUCCCGUCCCAAUUAUCCCGCGCAGGGUGGGGCCAACUGGCUGGGAUGGGGCGGGGGACGCGGGGAGAGCGGGCGGCUCGACUCCCUCCUGGUCGCGGGGUGGCCCGGGGAAGCGUCUCCGCAGCCACGGCCUGUGUGGCCCCGUCCCUGGUCUUCCCGGGGGAUGCGAGGGCAAGGCCCAGCCUGGCAGCUGUGGGCCCUGGAAGGGCGUCGUUCUGCACCUAAGGGCGAGAUCACGCGGCCGAGAACCAAGGCCGCAUCCCGGAUGGACUUCGGGUGACUUUCCCGGAGUUCUGGGGAAUCCCCUAACCCGGGGAGCUGCAGACGACUCACUGGCCCCGGGCCGCGGUUCCGCGGGUGGCCGCUGUACGCUUGAGACACCUGGUCCGCAGAAGUCAGUUGCCACGCUGGCUCCCACCGGCCUCUUUCCAGAUCAUGAAGGUAUUUUUCCUUCAUCAAAUUGAGAGGAAGUCCGUAGUAAAGCUGCCCGUUGACCAGGUGCCCUGGCAGGAGGGACUGGCUUAUGCCACCCUGUGCAGGAUCGUCUUCUCAGCUUACAGAGCCUAGUGUGAUUCAACAACCCUCCAUCUCUGCCCCCAACAUGCCCAACUGAUCUGGUGGAGGGAACUGAAGAUGAAGGCCUCUCAGGCACCAUGGAUGGGAUGGGUGUGUGUGAAGGGGGCAGGGUCCCCAGGAGCUGCCCCAGGUCUGGCUGGACAGUUGCACGGGAAGUCCUGUUUGUGAACUCAACGUUUCCACGGCUUUUCCAUUAAACUUUACCCCAAA
rnacentral:lncRNA from 1 species